rnacentral:rRNA from 1 species
AGUAACACGUGAAUCAUCUACCUUCGAGUGGGGAAUAACUGAGAGAAAUCUUAGCUAAUACCGCAUAAUACCUACGGGUCAAAGCAGCAAUGCGCUUGAAGAGGAGUUCGCGGCAGAUUAGUUAGUUGGCGGGGUAAUGGCCCACCAAGACGAUGAUCUGUAUCCGGCCUGAGAGGGCGCACGGACACACUGGAACUGAAACACGGUCCAGACUCCUACGGGAGGCAGCAGUGGGGAAUUUUGCGCAAUGGGGGAAACCCUGACGCAGCAACGCCGCGUGGAGGAUGAAAUCCCUUGGGAUGUAAACUCCUUUCGAUCGGGAAGAUAAUGACGGUACCGAGAGAAGAAGCCCCGGCUAACUUCGUGCCAGCAGCCGCGGUAAUACGAGGGGGGCAAGCGUUGUUCGGAAUUAUUGGGCGUAAAGGGUGCGUAGGCGGUUUGAUAAGUUUGAUGUGAAAUCUCUGGGCUCAACCAGAGUCUGAUCGAAAACUGUCGGGCUUGAGUAUGGGAGAG